UAAAAUUACAUCGCGCUCUCUCUCCCUUCUCUUUUCUUCUUCUUCUCCUUCUCGCUCGCUCGGUCUCUCUCUUCUCCUUCUCUCUUCCUCCGACGAGAAUAGAGAGGCGGCGACAAAAACAGCAGUGGUUGCCUUCCCAUGACCGUUUCAGAACUUUUUGAGCUCUCGGAGAGGACGAUUGAAGUGGGUGACCGUGGGAAGGUACGCCUAUUCACUGUGCGGAUUUAACGAAAAACUGUAUGGACCAAUUCAUCGAUUUCGCUUUGUAAUCUCUCUUAGUCCCCAUUCGGUCGGGAUCUCGCCGAAAUCUGGAUGCUCGUAUUCCAAAUUCAAACAGGCCUUCGUCGAUCUACUUAUUGUGCUGGCAGGUUAGUAAUUCAGAGUUGCAGACUCAAAAGUGGUCUGAGAUAUGCCUCACUUCAUGUUCUCUCUUGGUGAUCUCUCCAUCUGAAAACAGAACAUUUUGAGCUCGACCGGUUGGGGCCGUUCUACUUCAUCAGCGGAACUGAGGAGAACUGCCAGAAGGGAGAGAAGAUGAGCGUGGUCGUGCUGUCGCCGAGACACCAUGGGUCUAGCUUGUCUGCUCCGGCUCCUGCACAAGAGGGACCGACGCUCACCGUCGCUCGCGGUGCUCUGUUUCUUGGCCAACUGGCAAGGACUGCAAUUUCUCGGUUGCAAUGGACUUUUACACCACUGUUCUUCCAAAUGUAGAUAAGUGUAAAAACAACACAGAACCAGUUCGACUUUUGCAUUUAUCCAUCUGACCGUUUUUCAUUUACUCUAGUGUAUUUUUAUAUUUACAUCUCAAACAAACGAAGCCUAAAGAAAUUGAUUAUAGAGAGGAAGUGACGUAAAGGUCACCAUUUUGAGAAUUGCAAGCAAAAGAUAGGCCUGUAAACGGUAUAUGGAAAUUUGAAUUUGAUAUUUGACUUAAAUGAAUUGAAUUUGGGUUA